CGGACGGGUGAGUAACACGUGGAUAACCUACCUAUAAGACUGGGAUAACUUCGGGAAACCGGAGCUAAUACCGGAUAAUAUUUUGAACCGCAUGGUUCAAAAGUGAAAGACGGUCUUGCUGUCACUUAUAGAUUGAUCCGCGCUGCAUUAGCUAGUUGGUAAGGUAACGGCUUACCAAGGCAACGAUGCAUAGCCGACCUGAGAGGGUGAUCGGCCACACUGGAACUGAGACACGGUCCAGACUCCUACGGGAGGCAGCAGGG
rnacentral:rRNA from 1 species